GGGCAGUGAUGAGAGGGGAGGAGGCUCUGGGGCCUCAGGGCCUACUGUAUACUCCUCUGUGACUCUGAACCUG